AGAGUUUGAUCCUGGCUCAGGAUGAACGCUAGCGGCAGGCUUAAUACAUGCAAGUCGAGGGGCAGCGGGGUAGCAAUACCGCCGGCGACCGGCAAACGGGUGCGGAACACGUACAGAACCUUCCUCUGAGUGUGGGAUAGCCCGGAGAAAUCCGGAUUAAUACCACAUAUUAUUUUGGAGUGGCAUCACUUUAAAAUUAAAGAUUUAUCGCUUAGAGAUGGCUGUGCGGCUGAUUAGGUAGUUGGUGCGGGUAACGGCCCACCAAGCCUUCGAUCAGUAACUGGUGUGAGAGCACGACCAGUCACGCGGGCACUGAGACACGGGCCCGACUCCUACGGGAGGCAGCAGUAAGGAAUAUUGGUCAAUGGACGCAAGUCUGAACCAGCCAUGCCGCGUAGAGGAUGAAGGCCCUCUGGGUUGUAAACUUCUUUUAUCUGGGACGAAACCCAGGCAUUCUUGCCUGACUGACGGUACCAGAGGAAUAAGCACCGGCUAACUCCGUGCCAGCAGCCGCGGUAAUACGGGAGGGUGCAAGCGUUAUCCGGAUUCACUGGGUUUAAAGGGUGCGUACGCGGAUGGGUAA
rnacentral:rRNA from 1 species